rnacentral:rRNA from 1 species
CAGUCGCCGCGGGAAUACGUAGGUGGCAAGCGUUGUCCGGAAUUAUUGGGCGUAAAGGGCUCGCAGGCGGUUUCUUAAGUCUGAUGUGAAAGCCCCCGGCUCAACCGGGGAGGGUCAUUGGAAACUGGGAAACUUGAGUGCAGAAGAGGAGAGUGGAAUUCCACGUGUAGCGGUGGAAUGCGUAGAGAUGUGGAGGAACACCAGUGGCGAAGGCGACUCUCUGGUCUGUAACUGACGCUGAGGAGCGAAAGCGUGGGGAGCGAACAGGAUUAGAGACCCCGGUAGUCCCUGUCUCUUAUAC